rnacentral:rRNA from 1 species
AGCGAACGCUGGCGGCAGGCUUAACACAUGCAAGUCGAACGGGCAUCUUCGGAUGUCAGUGGCAGACGGGUGCGUAACACGUGGGAACGUACCCUUCGGUUCGGAAUAACUCAGGGAAACUUGAGCUAAUACCGGAUACGCCCUUUUGGGGAAAGGUUUACUGCCGAAGGAUCGGCCCGCGUCUGAUUAUCUUGUUGGUGGGGUAACGGCCUACCAAGGCGACGAUCAGUAGCUGGUCUGAGAGGAUGAUCAGCCACACUGGGACUGAGACACGGCCCAGACUCCUACGGGAGGCAGCAGUGGGGAAUAUUGGACAAUGGGCGCAAGCCUGAUCCAGCCAUGCCGCGUGAGUGAUGAAGGCCUUAGGGUUGUAAAGCUCUUUUGUCCGGGACGAUAAUGACGGUACCGGAAGAAUAAGCCCCGGCUAACUUCGUG